AAAGUAGUUUAUAAAAAUAUUGGUUUGUGGUGCCGAAGAAGUAGAUUUCUACCUUUAGUA
rnacentral:tRNA from 1 species